UACGAAGGGGGCUAGCGUUGCUCGGAAUCACUGGGCGUAAAGCGCACGUAGGCGGAUUGCUAAGUCAGGGGUGAAAUCCUGGAGCUCAACUCCAGAACUGCCUUUGAUACUGGGCGACCUUGAGUCCGGGAGAGGUGAGUGGAACUGCGAGUGUAGAGGUGAAAUUCGUAGAUUAUUCGCAAGAACACCAGUGGCGAAGGCGGCUCACUGGCCCGGUACUGACGCUGAGGUGCGAAAGCGUGGGGGAGCAAACAGG
rnacentral:rRNA from 1 species